AGAGUUUGAUCAUGGCUCAGAGCGAACGCUGGCGGCAUGCCUAACACAUGCAAGUCGCGCGGCCAUGGUGAGCAAUCGUCAUGGCAGCGGCGGACGGGUGAGUAACGCGUAGGAACGUGUCCUGAGGUGGGGGAUAACCCUGGGAAACUAGGGCUAAUACCGCAUGAUAUGGUGACAUCAAAGCAGUGAUGCGCCUUGGGAGCGGCCUGCGUCCGAUUAGCUAGUUGGUGUGGUGACGGCGCACCAAGGCUCUGAUCGGUAGCUGGUCUGAGAGGAUGAUCAGCCACACUGGGACUGAGACACGGCCCAGACUCCUACGGGAGGCAGCAGUGGGGAAUAUUGGACAAUGGGCGCAAGCCUGAUCCAGCAAUGCCGCGUGUGUGAAGAAGGUCUUCGGAUUGUAAAGCACUUUCGGCGGGGACGAUGAUGACGGUACCCGCAGAAGAAGCCCCGGCUAACUUCGUGCCAGCAGCCGCGGUAAUUC
rnacentral:rRNA from 1 species